rnacentral:tRNA from 1 species
GUUUUAAUAAUUUAAUAAAAAUAUUAACUUUGUAAGUUAAAAUUAGAUUAGUAUAUUCUUUAAAACA